UACAGAGGGUGCGAGCGUUAAUCGGAAUUACUGGGCGUAAAGAGCUCGUAGGUGGUUUGUCGCGUUGUUCGUGAAAACUCACAACUCAAUUGUGGGCGUGCGGGCGAUACGGGCAGACUGGAGUACUGCAGGGGAGACUGGAAUUCCUGGUGUAGCGGUGGAAUGCGCAGAUAUCAGGAGGAACACCGGUGGCGAAGGCGGGUCUCUGGGCAGUAACUGACGCUGAGGAGCGAAAGCGUGGGGAGCGAACAGG
rnacentral:rRNA from 1 species